AGGUGUGAAGUUAAAAUGAUGUAGAAGGGAAGGUGUGAAGUUAAAAUGAUGAAGAAGGGAAGGUGUGAAGUUAAAAUGAUGAAGAAGGGAAGGUGUGAAGUUAAAAUGAUUAAGAAGGGAAGGUGUGAAGUUAAAAUGAUGUAGAAGGGAAGGUGUGAAGUUAAAAUGAUGAAGAAGGGAAGGUGUGAAGUUAAAAUGAUGAAGAAGGGAAGGUGUGAAGUUAAAAUGAUAAAGAAGGGAAGGUGUGAAGUUAAAAUGAUAAAGAAGGGAAGGUGUGAAGUUAAAAUGAUGAAGAAGGGAAGGUGUGAAGUUAAAAUGAUAAAGAAGGGAAGGUGUGAAGUUAAAAUGAUAAAGAAGGGAAGGUGUGAAGUUAAAAUGAUAAAGAAGGGAAGGUGUGAAGUUAAAAUGAUAAAGAAGGGAAGGUGUGAAGUUAAAAUGAUAAAGAAGGGAAGGUGUGAAGUUAAAAUGAUAAAGAAGGGAAGGUGUGAAGUUAAAAUGAUAAAGAAGGGAAGGUGUGAAGUUAAAAUGAUAAAGAAGGGAAGGUGUGAAGUUAAAAUGAUAAAGAAGGGAAGGU